rnacentral:lncRNA from 1 species
GAGGAGCCAUUUGUUGGGUUUUGAGUGAAAUCCAAUCUCUACAACUAUACAAUACACAAACCACUCCACUUCAGAAUGAACAUCGAACGAACCUGAAUUGUCCGAUUUCACGGACCAAUCGAUAUCAGAUUGAGUCCAAAACUUGGGGAACAUCAUAAUACGGUGGGAGGAGUCAUUUGGUGACUUUUGAGUGAAAUCCAAUGGCUAAAACUAUACAAUACAAUAAC